AAGAACCAACUUCUACUGCUUCUACUUCUUCCUUCUCAUUCUAUUGUCUUAACAUUCUUCUACACGUCACUGCCUUCAACUCCCUGAACUCCCUACAAUCCACUACAACCCACUGCAACCCCCAACUAAAACCCAAUGCGACCCCUAACCUCCUAAUAGUCCUAAUCCAUACUUCUUACUGUAAGUCUUCUAACCAGUUAUUUGUUUUUCCGAUGUUGUUGUAUGAUGGUUCUGGUAUUCUUCUGUCGUUCCGGUGUUCAUCUGUCGUUCCGGUGUUCUUCUGCGGUUGCGGUCUUCUGGUGGUGGUCGUUGAACUAUUUCUGACUAAAUGUUGCUCCCGUAAAUUUUUUUCCUACCGUUUCGAUUUCAUUUGUCCGUUCUGCCAGCGUUUAGUUAUCUGUCUCUCGUUCAAGAUUGUUGUUUCUGGUUGGUUUCCUCUGUUUUUUCUGUUCUUUUAUUCGUUCUAGACGUUCCGGUCAGUGUAUUUGUUCUAAAUCCAUUAAUUUUUUCUUCCUGUCUUUUGUGCGCACAAAUCCAAGCAUUUUUUUUCUGGUCAUUCUUGUAUUUUUUAAAACUCUAUCCCAUGUGUCGUUCUUGAAUCUUACCCUGGUCGUUCUUUUAUUUUUUUCCAUUUCGUUCUUGAAUCUCAGCUUUGGUUUUAUUCAUUUAUUUACUUAUCGGUUUUUCAUACUUGUUACCGUAAGUUGUUAUACCAUUUAUCCGGUUUUAGUUGUUUUGAUUUUCCGAUUUUGUUGUAUUGCUCUUCCGGUGUUCUUCUGUCAUUCCAUCACUUCUUGUCGGUUGCGUUAUUUCCUGUGUUGUUCGUUCAUUCUUUAUUGUUUAUCAUUUGCUCCUGUAAAUUGGUUUUCUGCUCUUCCGGUUUUGUCUGUUCGUUCUACCGGUGUUGAGGAUAAUAGAUAGUUUUUGUUCUCCCAUUCUGUUCAAGAUUGUUGUUUUUCUUCUGUUUCCACUACUUUUUUGGUUCCUUCAUUCGAUUUGGAACGAGUUUAGCGACUGAAAGACACAAUGAAACCCAUUGGAAACCCAAUAAUGUAAAAUAAAAAUAAUGAGAAAACCAAAUGAAAAGAUGAAGAUAAAAUCGUUG
rnacentral:lncRNA from 1 species